rnacentral:rRNA from 1 species
UGCUAGUUGUACGAGUUCAGACUCGUAGCAUAUAGCUCAGUAACACGUGGCCAAACUGCCCUACAGACCGCAAUAACCUCGGGAAACUGAGGCCAAUGGCGGAUACAGCUUCUAUGCUGGAACUGCAGGAAGCUGGAAACGCUCCGGCGCUGUAGGAUGUGGCUGCGGCCGAUUAGGUAGACGGUGGGGUAACGGCCCACCGUGCCUGUAAUCGGUACGGGUCGUGAGAGCGAGAGCCCGGAGACGGUAUCUGAGACAAGAUACCGGGCCCUACGGGGCGCAGCAGGCGCGAAACCUUUACACUGCACGCCAGUGCGAUAGGGGGACUCCAAGUGCGAGGGCAUAUAGUCCUCGCUUUUGUACACCGUAAGGUGGUGUACGAAUAAGAACUGGGCAAGACCGGUGCCAGCCGCCGCGGUAAUACCGGCAGUUCAAGUGAUGGCCGAUUUUAUUGGGCCUAAAGCGUUCGUAGCUGGCCAGUCAAGUCUGUCGGGAAACCUGCUCGCUCAACGAGCAGCCGUCCGGCGGAAACUGAUUGGCUUGGGACCGGAAGACCUGAAGAGUACGUCCGGGGUAGGAGUGAAAUCCUGUAAUCCUGGACGGACUACCGAUGGCGAAAGCACUUCAGGAGCACGGAUCCGACAGUGAGGAACGAAAGCUGGGGUCUCGAACCGGAUUAGAUACCCGGGUAGUCCCAGCCGUAAACGAUGUCUGCUAGGUAUGGCACAGGCUACG